ACUUCAGCUGAAAUUCAUCUGAAUGACCAGGGGACCAAUAAGUGUGCCACGGAGCAGCAAGAGGGAGCUGCUUCACAAGGGAAGCAAGGACUGGAAAAGGUUCAGAGAAGGAAAACAAGGAUGAUUAGAGACACGGAACAGCUUCUCUAUCAGGAGUGACUGAGUAGGCUGAGAUUCUUCAGCCUGGGAAAAUGAUGCACUCAGAAGAGAUGAUAGAAGAUGACAGCAGCCAGGUUCAAAAGAAACAAAAGAAUCUUUUUUCGUACUUAAGCAGUGGAAGAGCGCCACUGAAAUGGAGAUUCAGACACCUACUCUUGCAACAGACUGUGCACUUAAGUGUUGACCUGAAGCAUAGACAUUGGACUACUCGGAUAAUUGAAAAACCUGACAUGCUUGACAUGACCUGAUAUGCUGAAAUAUUUCUAAGUAGUUUUUAGAUAUUAUGAUAAUGAUGGAGCUGCCAUGACAUUUUUACCUCUGUUAUUAUUUCAGCUCUUUAUAGUUUUGCUCUAAAAAUGACCUUUUAAGAUAAUUCUUUUGUAUGUAUGAGUGUAGUACUUCUUAAAAAUGCUAAACUGACAACACUUACCAGCUGUUUUAAUGAUGUCAGUAAAGUAUCUCACUUCCAGCACUGCAUUAUUAAUACCUCAUUUCUUGAAGCAAGAAGGCAACCUAAUAUUUCAAUAUUCUUGAUUAUCUGCUGAGAUUUGCAAAGGCCUUGCAGAAAUAAGGGGAUGACAUGUUCUCCCUGAAGGCCUCUUUCAUCCGGAGCAUGAACUUUCUGUUCUUUUCCCCCGAUUUGAAAGAUUCCAAAUCUGCUAAAGGAGAUUACAAUCUACUACGGGAGGACUGAUCUUUGAACAGACAUUCUAGGAAGCCAGAAAUGUCUGAAGAAUUAUGAUCGAGAAGGAACUGGUGUUUCUUGUUAAUUUCUGUACUGUUUGAUUUAUUUAGCUUUUAUUAUUAAAUCUGGAGGAUUUU